CCUACGGGUGGCUGCAGUGGGGAAUAUUGGACAAUGGGCGAAAGCCUGAUCCAGCCAUGCCGCGUGUGUGAAGAAGGCCUUCGGGUUGUAAAGCACUUUCAGUGGGGAAGAAAGCCUUGGGGCUAAUACCCUCGAGGAAGGACAUCACCCACAGAAGAAGCACCGGCUAACUCCGUGCCAGCAGCCGCGGUAAUACGGAGGGUGCGAGCGUUAAUCGGAAUUACUGGGCGUAAAGCGCGCGUAGGCGGUCUGAUAAGCCGGUUGUGAAAGCCCCGGGCUCAACCUGGGAACGGCAUCCGGAACUGUCAGGCUAGAGUGCAGGAGAGGAAGGUAGAAUUCCCGGUGUAGCGGUGAAAUGCGUAGAGAUCGGGAGGAAUACCAGUGGCGAAGGCGGCCUUCUGGACUGACACUGACGCUGAGGUGCGAAAGCGUGGGUAGCAAACAGGAUUAGCUACCCGGGUAGUC
rnacentral:rRNA from 1 species